UACGUAGGGUGCGAGCGUUAAUCGGAAUUACUGGGCGUAAAGUGUGCGCAGGCGGCCGAGCAAGUCGAGUGUGAAAGCCCCGAGCUUAACUUGGGAACUGCGCUCGAAACUACUUGGCUAGAGUGUGGCAGAGGGAGGUGGAAUUCCACGUGUAGCGGUGAAAUGCGUAGAGAUGUGGAGGAACACCGAUGGCGAAGGCAGCCUCCUGGGCCUGUACUGACGCUCAUGCACGAAAGCGUGGGGAGCAAACAGG
rnacentral:rRNA from 1 species